rnacentral:rRNA from 1 species
AAUGGGGGGAACCCUGAUGCAGCGACGCCGCGUGCGGGAUGACGGCCUUCGGGUUGUAAACCGCUUUCAGUAGGGAAGAAGCGAAAGUGACGGUACCUGCAGAAGAAGUACCGGCUAACUACGUGCCAGCAGCCGCGGUAAUACGUAGGGUACAAGCGUUGUCCGGAAUUAUUGGGCGUAAAGAGCUCGUAGGUGGUUGGUCACGUCUGCUGUGGAAACGCAACGCUUAACGUUGCGCGUGCAGUGGGUACGGGCUGACUAGAGUGCAGUAGGGGAGUCUGGAAUUCCUGGUGUAGCGGUGAAAUGCGCAGAUAUCAGGAGGAACACCGGUGGCGAAGGCGGGACUCUGGGCUGUAACUGACGCUGAGGAGCGAAAGCAUGGGGAGCGAA